CCUGUGGGAACAUAUGCUACAGUUUCAGGCAGAGUCUGUGCAAAGAAGCCAAGGUUCAGAGCAGCUGAGGUCUCUUUACAGAAUGAGGCAAUGCCUGUGGAACCAGAGGAACUGGCUCUAAGCCUGACCUUUGGACCAGGCUUUGCUUGGGGCUUGGUCUAUGCUUAUGGCUCUCUUCCUAGAAGGUACACACUUUAUUUUGGAAGGGGGAUUUUUUUUUCACUAUGCUGCAAAAAUGGUAAAAAAAAAAAAAAAAAAAAGGCAGAAAGCAAUAUUCAGGCUUAUUGACUAGAGAAACAUCUUUUUUUGUAACGUUAUGGCCAGAAAAAUAUUUUUGUUGGAACUAAUAUAAAAUGGACCUUUUUUUUUUAGUUAUAUAAUGCAUCUGAUCAAAGUGUGCAUUAUUUAGGCAAAGAUUUAUACAUUGACAUCAAAAUGUGACCCACGGACAAGCACAGAGUUUAUUCUCUUCCCGAAGAAAUAGGCAUGUCCGAUGUUUUCUGUUUCAUAAUUUUAGGUUGCAAUCCUUUGUUCGCAUUAGGCUGUUCCCAUGUAGGACAAACACUGACAUCCGUAUGUAUAAUCUCCCUAAAGCUCUAGCAAAAUAAUGGACUUUAAACAUGCUUCAUCUUAUUUAAUCUUUAUAACAACGAUGCGGGACCUUGUAGCAUGGUAUUUUAAUCCCCAUUUUACAUAUUAGGUCACUAAUGCUCAGAGUAGGGAAAUAACCUGUUCAGUGUCACAUAGUAAAUAAGUAUCUUAACGAUGGCUCUAUCUCAUUGAUCCUGAUUCUAAGCUGAGUGGGUUUUAUUUUACAUUUUUGUGUAUAUCUGAGCACAUUUCCUGCUUGCUUUUAUCACUUACCAACGUAACUCAAAAUGGGAAAAACUACCAACUACUUCUCAUCUAUUGCUUCAUUCAUCAGAUGUGAUUAACACUAAGAAUUGUGUUGCUCCCUGAGCUGGGAUCACAGCGUUAGAUCUUGAUGAUGUUGGUAAUGAUGUAGUUCAACUCCUAUACCAGGGUUACCAGUUCCUUUUUUUUCACCUCCUACCUUCAAUAAACUUGGCACAUCUUCUCCAUUGUUCCUAUUCUAAGAUUAUCAACAUGUCCAUUUCCAACCUAUAAUGUUUAGUCUCUGGAUCUGUUGCAAACUUUUCGAGGAACAUAUUGAACAAGUCAGCAGGAUAAAUGAAGGUGUGCUAUAAACAGCCUAAUUGCAAAGGUGUGGGCAGGGUCAAGAGAAAGCAGUAAGAGAGGGUGCAAUACUUUGAAGUCACUGUUUCCUGUAGGCAAGAAGGAGCCAGGUGAGGGAGCAGAUGCUGGAAACCAGAAGGAAGAGCUGGAGGAGGGGGCUGAGUGGAACUGGCCAGAAUGAAGACAGGAAAACAAAAAUGCCAAACUCACUCUCCUCUGAACUACCUGUAUCCAGCCUUAUCUUCUAUUAAACGACAGGGUCCUACUGUCUAGAUAAACCAUAAUGGGAAAGAAGAUGAAUAAGAAUAUGUGUGUGAGUGUGUGUGUGUGUGUGUGUGUGUGUGUAACUGAAUCACUUUGCUAUACAGAAGAAAUUAACACAACAUUGUAAAUCAACUACGCCACAAUACAUUUAAAAAAAAAAAAAAGGCAAAACAGAGCCUAAGCUAACAUAUUCUUGGGAGUACAAUCCUAGGGAAGCAGAGUUGAGGGACAGCCAAGUGAAGCAACGAAAGGAGAGCAAAUGUAAAAAAGUCUUUACCGAAGUGACUUUAAUGAGCAGAUGUCUUGGUUUUACAAAACAUCUCCUGAAAAGCUGUAUGAAGCUGUGAUGUCUCUCAAGAGUUUGAGGGGUCCCCUUGGCCAUUAAUGGCCCCAUAAAGUGUAAGCACCUCUCGUCUGGAUGGUGUCAUGCAUGGACUCUAAGUGGUCUUGUGAAUGGACAUUUGGGUUGUUUCCAUGUCUUGGCUAUUGUGAAUAGUGCUGCAAUGAACAUGCGGGCGCAUGUGUCUUUUUUAAGGAAAGAUUUGUCCGGAUAUAUGCCCAAGAGUGGGAUUGCUGGGUCACAUGGUGAGAUCCUGCUGUGUAGCCCUGCAAACUAUGUCUAGUCACUUCUGAUGGGGCAUGAUAAUGUGAGAAAAAAGAAUGUAUACAUGUAUGUGUAACUGGGUCACCCAUGCUGUACAGUAGGAAAAAAAAAUGUAUUGGGGAAAUAACAAUUUAAAAAAAUAAUAAUAAUGGGAAGCCUGAGCCCAGGCUCUGAGGAGUUGUGCCUGUGAGCCGUGUCACGGAACCACCAAAAGGGGGGCACUCUCGGCCAGAAGUGGCAGGAAAGAUCUAUAGCUCCAUGAUCUUCAAAACAACCUGAGCCCUUGCUGCAUCAGUCAGAGAACAAGCAAUGCAUUGGCGCAGAUUUGGGGACGUAUAAUCUCGUCUUGGUACAGAGGACCAGGGUGUUUAGAAAGGUCAGCCUCACAGAGCACAAAGAGGGUCUGGAGGGACAACUAGAAAAGAGGUAUCACACAGGUACAAAUGGGGAAGAAGCUUAGACAACCUGGCCGUGCCCUGUUUUGCAGCGCUGUAUCUCCAAACUUAAUUCUUUUAAGAUUCCUAAAGCUAAAGUGGCAAAAUAGAGUGCUCUAGUCAGACCACUUUGUGUGUGGUCUUAGAAAAUUUUGCUCUGUCCCUCAUAGUGGUUUAUUUUCAUCCAACCUCCUGCAAAACUGCAUUUUUACUCACGGCUUGUCUUUACCAUGCCAGGGAAACAAAUGCCACAUUUCUAGCCCUCCCUCUCAUGCCAGGGAAACAAAUGUCAUGUUUCUAGCCCUCUCUCUCUUUUGCAGAGCUAGCUUCUGGCCCCCUCAGCUCAGUCUCAUCCCCACCUUGAAAGUUUUAGCAGUGUUAGAAAUUCAUGUAUGCAUUUUAGUAUUUAAUUCUUUCUUAUAUACUGUAUCAUUAUUGACGUUUAACCCCAUAAUUUUUUCUCUUUGAGUAAUCAGAGUAAAUUUUAAUUUUAAUCACUUAAAGAGAAUAUCUUCUCCCUUCCUCAAUAUUGUAAAAAACUUACCUGAUCUAGAAGUACAUUUGCAUUGAUUAAUGUCAGAUAUCACCUAGUUAUUCAUAAUUGUGAUUGGAACCACAUGAAAACAAAAAAGGAAAAAAGGGUUCGCCUACCUCAGCUGUCUAAAUUCGACUAACAAUUAAUAUUUGCAGGUGCUGGGAAGUUUACUUAGAUGGUUGCUGCCGGGGCACAUCUUGAUCUACCCUUGAGGCAUGGCAUUAGGCUUCCAAGUACAUACCUCAGAAAGGAAUUAUGCAGGUGCAAAAAGAGUCCACAGUUGAACUGCCAAAUGCCUAGGUUUGUUCUCUGAUUCUGAAGACAAUGUCAUCAGUCUGGUUUGCAUUAACCUGUGAUAAGAUCUAAUUAGAAAUAAAGACUGGAAAAAUAUUAUAGAGAUAGGAGAUUUUUUUUUAAUGAAUACAUUCUUGGAAAAUCAUAAAUGAUUCUGCUGUCUUCCCCUCACUCCUCAUUCCACCCUUGCCAAGUUGCCUAUAUAAAGCCACCUAUGGAAGGUCGGUGCAUACAACUGCAUAUGAUUAAGUCUUCUGCUAUAGAUAGGAGUAGAUAUAGAACACAAAUGUUUUUCACCAGAAUUUUCUUUUUGUUUAAAGGAUGGCAGAGUGAGGAGUGUCUGAUAGUGGGGAGAUUUCUAGAAGCUUAUUUCCUCCUGAAAUGCAGUUUGCAUGACAAUCGCCCUGGCAACAACUGUAAUCGCUAAAUACAUAAUAAUAAUUUUUUCACAGUAAGGAAAUAAAAUAAGCUAUUAACUCCAGAGCUAAUAUUACUUUGGAAGAGUUUAAAGAGUAUAAUUUUGGAAGGGAAGGGCACAUUUUUGUAAAUUUCUUUCUCUUUUGACGUUUAACUUAGAGGUUGGGGGUAGAUGGUAUAAAUUACCAGGAUCUGAGUUCUGGAACAGGGCCUAGACCCCAAACGUGUUGUGUAUCAUUACCAAGCCCUCAGCCUUGUUUUGUUUCUUUGGCCAGGCCAUAUUUUCUGAGGCCUAAAAUGGUCUGUUUUCUUUUGUUUGUUUGUUUCACUAGUACCAGGACCGAUUCUUGGCUAUGCACCAAAUCGCUGUCCUACUUCAAAUCCAUGUAAGUCAAAAUGGAACUGUUUUCAUGUAUCUCUACUUUAGAACUCUGUUUGUUUGUUUUUGUUUUUUCAAAAAAAGCACUGUAGGAUGAACAAUAUUAUCUCAAUGAAAAUGUUCUCAAUACUACCCUGAUCCGGACAUCUUUUUUAUAAUACCAAUAAAUAAAGAUUCUCUAAAAUACAUCAACGAUGGGGCGUUCCCGUCAUGGUGCAGUGGUUAACGAAUCCGACUAGGAACCAUGAAGUUGCAGGUUCAGUCCCUGACCUUGCUCAGUGGGUUAAGGAUCCGGCAUUGUUCCGUGAGCUGUGGUGUAGGUUGCAGACGCUGCUCUGAUCCCGCGUUGCUGUGGCUCUGGCGUAGGCCCGUGCCUACAGCUCCAAUUCGACCCCUAGCCUGGGAACCUCCAUAUGCUGUGGGGGCAGCCCUAGAAAAG
rnacentral:lncRNA from 1 species